rnacentral:rRNA from 1 species
UUUACGGGAGGCAGCAGUGGGGAAUAUUGGACAAUGGGCGAAAGCCUGAUCCAGCCAUGCCGCGUGUGUGAAGAAGGUCUUCGGAUUGUAAAGCACUUUAAGUUGGGAGGAAGGGCAGUUACCUAAUACGUGAUUGUUUUGACGUUACCGACAGAAUAAGCACCGGCUAACUCUGUGCCAGCAGCCGCGGUAAU